GAGGGUAUAGCUCAGUGGUAGAGUUCAUGCUUAGCACGCAUGAGGUCCUGGGAUCAAUCCCCAGCACCUCCU
rnacentral:tRNA from 1 species